UGUAAUUUGGACCUCAAACUACGACUCUUCCAUAAGCUUUGCAAAGUUCUAGGAGUAAGAAAACCUAACAUUGCAAUUUGGCCUUCAACAAACAAAAUUCUUCGUAGGUUGUAGAUCGAGGUGUGUCUGAGCACGAAGAUUGUUGAGUCCAGGCCUGGUUGAGUUUCAGAGACUGCAAGGUAGCUGCCAGCGUCCGCAGGACCUUGUUACUCCUUCCAUAUUUCCUUCCAUUUUGUACUGAUAUUUAGACAUUGACUAUAAUAGUUUUAAAUACUUAGACGCUUAUGACUAGUGUCACCCCAAUGUUUAGGGCUGGUUUCCGCAUUUUGAUUCUAUAUUGAGUUCAACUUUGAUUUUAUGAAAAAUUCCUGAUAUGGAAAGCUUUACUUUACUUUUAUAUUUAGUUUGGAAGUAUUUUUGAAAAGGUCGGCUUGCCUAGUACCACUGAUAGGCGCCAUCACGACGGGUUAGGUUUUGGGUUGUGACAGUAACCCAACCAUCUAUUGAGCAGUUGAUGGAUAACCAGAACUACACUGAAGCCGAAGCACAUGGCGGUCAAUCUAAUGAGCUGAAUACUUCUGCCGGUGGCACUGAAUAUCAACAUAAUGAUGAAUCAGGUAAUUUGAAGGCAAGAAAGGUUCGUGGGCCUACUUUUCUAGGCUUUGAUCCGUAUCUUUUUAUUUAAUUUCAUCUUGGUUGUCACAAUACAGAAAUACAAUUGAGCACAUAUUAAACAAUAACAACCCAGUAUAAUUUUACUAGUGGGAU